rnacentral:rRNA from 1 species
UACGUAGGCAGCAAGCGUUUGUUCGGAGUUACUGGGCGUAAAGGGUGCGUAGGCGGCUUUUUAAGUUUGGUGUGAAAUCUCCCGGCUCAACUGGGAGGGUGCGCCGAAUACUGAGAGGCUAGAGUGUGGGAGAGGAAAGUGGAAUUCCUGGUGUAGCGGUGAAAUGCGUAGAUAUCAGGAGGAACACCGGUGGUGUAAACGGCUUUCUGGACCAUAACUGACGCUGAUGCACGAAAGCGUGGGUAGCAAACAGG